rnacentral:rRNA from 1 species
UACGGAAGGCAGCAGUGGGGGAAUAUUGCACAAUGGGCGCAAGCCUGAUGCAGCCAUGCCGCGUGUAUAAAGAAGGCCUUCGGGUUGUAAAGUACUUUCAGUCGUGAGGAAGGUGUUAAGGUUAAUAACCUUAGCAAUUGACGUUAGCGACAGAAGAAGCACCGGCUAACUCCGUGCCAGCAGCCGCGGUAAUACGGAGGGUGCGAGCGUUAAUCGGAAUUACUGGGCGUAAAGGGCACGCAGGCGGUUAAUUAAGUUGGAUGUGAAAUCCCCGGGCUUAACCUGGGAAUGGCAUUCAAGACUGGUUAGCUAGAGUCUUGUAGAGGGGGUAGAAUUCCAUGUGUAGCGGUGAAAUGCGUAGAGAUGUGGAGGAAUACCGGUGGCGAAGGCGGCCCCUGGACAAAGACUGACGCUCAUGUGCGAAAGCGUGGGGAGCAAACGAGGGAUUAGAUACC